GGGAUGUUAGCUCAAUUGGUCUAGAGCACUCGCCUUUUAAGCGAUAGGUUCGGAGUUCAAGUCUCCGACAUCCCACCA
rnacentral:tRNA from 3 species